UCUGGAGCCAGUUGAUAUAUAUAUAUAUAUAUAUUUUAAAAAAAAGUUUUUUCCUGGAAUACCCCUUUAAUUCCAUAAAUUGAAACCAACAAACAUCCAUAAUUCUUUAGAUGACUAUAUAUAUUGCCUAUUUCUUGUCAAUGCCCUGCUUUCUAUUGAUAAAUUGGAGUUGUAAAAAAUCUCCUCAAUUUAAGAUAAAAAAAUCCUAAUCUUUGGCAAACUUUUGGUUAUCGUCCAUGGGUAAUUAAUAGCGGAUUAUUGAGUAUAGUCAAAAUCUACUAUGCUGGGCAAAUUGUAUCUCAUGCUUAUGGCCACCUUUACUUUGAUGAUAGACAUGGCCUAUUUUAUUAUUGCAUGGGUAGUCUAUAGUUGCAACACAAAAGUUUAGAAGAUUGUAGCCUAAAUUUACCUGAUACCAAAACUGUCUGGUGUUGCCCGUAGCAACCAAUCAUAUCAGCAUUCAUAUCUUAAUGAGUUUUGGUAAAAUAAAAGCUGAGCUGUGAUUGGUUGCUAUGGGAAAACCAGACCGUUUUGGUUUCAGGCAUAGAUAUUUGGGCCCCUCUUAGACUUACUUCCUGAUGACUACAUGCCAUAAUAUGGCAUAUGGAUAACAGUGGUACUAAAGAGACAACCCCUUUAAAAUGAAGGAACUCCUGCUUCCUGGAGUUCACUUCUGCCCUCUUCCCAUAUACCUUCUGAGAUGAGAAAGUGCGGUCAGCAGUCACUUUUAUCUUGUUUUGGUGAAGCUGUGCAGCUACUGGUCCUUGUGCUUGGACGUGGUACUGCCCGCAAUGAUCACGACUGGCAACCCCCUCUCAUGGAUUCUUAUGAACUGCUGACUAAGAUUAUGUACUAGGGCCUAAGUAUACUCGUAGCAACCAUUUCAGACGAUAUGGGGCCCAGAGAUUUAGGGAACACACUCUUAAAAACAACAUGUUAGUGUGCUUUGGUUGGUACUAUGUGGGCACUACGAUGUUUGGUGCUUUUAUCCAUACUUUUAUUAUUGGUACAUAUGCUGCUGUUUCCAUUUUUGUCAUUCAGUGUUGGGUCCCUUCUUCUUUUGCUUUGGGGUCCUAUGAUCUAUAGUUCCACUGCUCAUCAUAUAUGUGUAUCACAUGAUAAGUAGAAAAAAUAGAGUGGUAAACUAUUCUGAUAUUGGCACCUGCAGGUCAACAUCUGCAACUAUUACAGUAUUAAGGGAGUUAUUUUAACUAUUAAACUAAAUAUUAAUAAAAUGCCACUUAUGUAUUCCUGUAAUACAAUAGAUGGUGAAGCUCUGAAAGUGAAGUACACUUGACUUUUAUUUUCAGGGAAUUUUACCAUUCCCUGAAUAUAUACGGUAUUUAAUAUAUUUGAACAACAUUCCAAAAGGCCCCUUGCACAUCACUUAUGGGAGAUCCACUUUUGUAUUGUUUUUUUUAGACGAAAAGCUUAGCAUGAAAUAAAAGGGUAAACAUUUCAUUAUAUGUUCUUAGCAAAUGUUCUCACUCCUUUGUGCUGCGAUCAGACCCUUCUUUCAAUCUAAAAAGAUAUAAGGAAAAACAGAUCAUAAUGUUUAAAAGCACAGGUCGUACAUCCCACAACAUUCGUAGCUUAAAUAAGUGACAGUUGACCUUACAGAAAACAGUUCUGGGAUAUCAAAAUUCAAUUUUAUUUAGUCAUUAAAAUUAAAACAUUGCAUGUUUUUGUGUUAGGCAUGGCGGCCUUUUUAGUUGCCAUAAUACACUGCUCAAAAAAAUAAAGGGAACACUUAGAUAACACAUCCUAGAUCUGAAUGAAUGAACUAAUCGUAUGAAAUACUUUCGUCUUUACAUAGUUGAAUGUGCUGACAACAAAAUCACACAAAAAUGAUCAAUGGAAAUCAAAUUUAUCAACCUAUGGAGGUCUGGAUAUGGAGUCACACUCAAAAUCAAAGAGGAAAAUCACACUACAGGCUGAUCCAACUUUAAUGUAAUGUCCUUAAAACAAGUCAAAAUUAGGCUCAGUAGUGUGUGUGGCCUCCACAUGCCAGUAUGACCUCUCUACAAUGCCUGGGCAUGCUCCUCAUGAGGACAUGGACAGUCUGUGGUGCAACUUGGCAUUGGUGGAUGGAGCGAGACAUGAUAUCCCAGAGUUGCUCAAUCGGAUUCAGGUGUGGAGAACGGGCGGGCCAGUCCAUAGCAUCAAUGCCUUCCUCUUGCAGGAACUGCUGACACACUCCAGCCACAUGAGGUCUAGCAUUGUCUUGCAUUAGGAGGAACCCAGGGACAACCGCACCAGCAUAUGGUCUUACAAGGGGUCUCAACUCGGUAGCUAUUGGCAGUCACGCUACCUCUGGCAAGCACAUGGAGGGCUGUGCGCCCCCCCCCCCCCCAAAGAAAUGCCACCCCAUACCAUUACUGGCCCACCACCAAACCGGUCAUGCUGGAGGAUGUUGCAGGCAGCAGAACGUUCUCCAUGACGUCGCCAGACUCUGUCACGUAUGUCACAUGUGCUUAGUGUGAACCUGCUUUCAUCUGUGAAGAGCACAGGGAGCCAGUGGCGAAUUUGCCAAUCUUGGUGUUCUCUGGCGAAUGCCAAACGUCCUGCACGUUGUUGGGCUGUAAGCACAACCCCCCCCCCACCUGUGGACAUCAGGCCUACCACCCUCAUGGAGUCUGUUUCUGACUGUUUGAAUAGACACAUGCACAUUUGUGGCCUGCUUGAGGUCAUUUUGCAGGGCUCUGGCAGUGCUCCACCUGCUCCUCCUUGCACAAAGGCGGAGGUAGCAGUCCUGCUGCUGGGUUUUUGCCCUCCUACGGUCUCCUCCACAUCUCCUGAUGUACUGCCCUGUCUCCUGGUAGUGCCUCCAUGUUCUGGACACUACGCUGACAGACACAGCAAAACUUCUUGCCACAGCUCGCAUUGGUGUGCCAUCCUGGAUGAGCUGCACUACCUGAGCCACUUGUGUGGGUUGUAGACUCCAUCUCAUGCUACCACUAGAGUGAAAGCACUGCAAACAUUCAAAAGUGACCAAAACAUUAGCCAGGAAGCAUAGGAACGGAGAAGUGGUCUGUGAUCACCACCUGCAGAACCACUCCUUUAUUGGGGGUGUCUUGCUAAUUGCCUAUAAUUUCCACCUGUUGUCUGUUCCAUUUGCACAACAGCAUGUGAAAUUGAUAGUCAAUCAGUGUUGCUUCCUGAGUGGACAGUAUGAUUUCACAGAAGUGUGAUUGACUUGGAGUUGCAUUGUGUUGUGUAAGUGUUCCCUUUAUUUUUUUGAGCAGUGUAUUUCAUCCCAGUUCAUCAUAGAUUUGAUGUAAGCUCUACAGGACACAAAAGUGUAGCUCUAUUUGAAUGUCUAAAUGUAUUGCCUCUGCAUCUUUUAUUAAUUUAAAGCCCCAUGCUGAUUUAAUGGAACGUAACACACACAGUUUCUUUGUUAGCUUAUACUUGCCUCACAACAAACAACUUGUAUACUUGUAUGCUUCUAUACAUCACACUCAAUGACAAAAGGGUUUAUGCUCUAAAAGCGUGCAAAAUGUAAAGACUGCUGAAUAGCUCUACUGAUAUACUCAAGGACUAAACUAGUACAAUGAAACCUAGAAAAAAUAUUUUAUACAGUUUUUUUUUAUUGCCAGUAAAAUAUUUUAUAUUUUUUGGAAGCCAUAUUUUAUUGGCAGAUAAAAAUAAGCAGAUUAUUACUGAAUAAUGGAAGUUAUCAUUUCCCAAUAAAAAUUUUUUUUGGGCGUAUCUGGAUGAAUAUAAUCAUAUGUAACUGCUCAGGUGUCCAUUGCACUACUUUAAUAGGUAUUAAACCCAUUGCAAGGGUUAACUAGAAUAAGAAAGCAAUAAGUUGGAGUUACCCUACACAUUAGCAGAAAAUGCAGCUUACAAUACUGUCUUAUAUUAUGGGCAGUUACUGUAUGUUUGCUCAGUGACUGUAUGAGUGACUAGAUUCGCAGUGACCAUGUGUUCUUCAGAUAUUUUUCUUAGUUGUUUCUUUUCAGUUAAGUGAACUUUUCAUGUACAUUUAGUAUUUACAUAUUGUAGGUUAUCAAUGGUUGCUGCUUGCAUUUUUAUGAUAAGCAGUUUCUCCUAAGGGCUCAUGCACACAGUGAAGCUGUUUACUUAAAAAUUGUACAGCAGCACAUGGAGUCCCUUCUGGCCCCUACUAUGGACCAGUUGGCAAUUUCUGGUGCCUCUUUAAAGGGGUACUCCACUGCCCCAGCCUCCGGAACAUUUUGUUCCGAACGCUGGGUGCGGGCUGCGGGGGUCCCAUAGACUUGCAUUGAGGGGGUGUGGGGUGACAUCACAAGGGGUAUGGCUGUGACAUCACGACCCCCGCAGCCCGCACCCAGCGUUCGGAACGAAAUGUUCCAGAUGCUGGGGCAGUGGAGUACCCCUUUAAUAAUACAUAUUGCGUAUGAUACUAUUUUUCCCCAUAGAUUCCUUCGUUUAACAUUGGCACAGUAUGGGCCCAUAUCAUGGUAUGGGUGCCAUGUUUGGGAUCCAUGCAACACAGAUCUAUAAUACAGCCAUGCGCAUGUUUUUUAUGUAUUUCAUUUUAGUUUAAUUGACUAGAUUUUAGUCUAUAGAAAAGAAAUAAUGUGUUUGUUUUUUAAAUGUUGUAGUCAUAUGAGGGACACACAAUUACUAGUACAAGUACUUAUGACACAGCAGAGUGUAAAAUGAACGGGAGUCAGAUGAAAGAUGAUUGUCAUAUUACAGUCUUCAGGUGGAGGAGACUCCAAUGCCAUAUGUCAUAUUACAGUCUUCUGGAAGGGAUGUAUAACAGGGAGUGACAGAACAGAUACUUACAGAGCCCUAUCUCUGUAUAGUCUGUAAGUGGCCAUAAACCUUCAAUAGCUGUUGGCCAAAUAAACAUUCCCUCCAUACACAUGUACACUCGAAUUGGCUGAGAGUUAGUGUUUUCUAAAUGAGAAGAAAAGGGGUAAGAGUUGGGAAGCCCUCAUACACAUUAGACAGAUGGUCACGCUGCCAUUUUCGAAUGUGUAUUAGGGCAUUUACUAGUAUGCUUUAUCUUGGCCUAGAGCAGUACAAGCGAGUUGCCAUUAAAGGUGCCUGUGCACCUUCAAUAACUGUCAGCUAUAUCUCCUGGGUCCCCAUACAUAUGCACUUUUGGCCUAGAUUAGUAUGCAUAUGUUUUCAAGUGGGAAGGAGAUCGCUGCCAGACACAUCUGUCACGAGUGCUGUCACGAGAGAGUUGGGAGGCCAUGGUCUGAUUCACCCGACUUUUCUCUAGUGCAUAUUGGGGCCUUUUCUUGAUGAUGUUCUAAAGAUAAUGACAUAACUCUGAUCACCCUGUUUAUACAGCAAAGCUGGCAAGCAAUCUAUAGAAAACAUGAAAGCCUUGUGUGUCUGCUCUAGGGCAGUGUGCAACCUAGAAUAUUAUAAGAUUUUCUUUAUGUGGAUAGACACCUGAACAAUGAAAAUAGGACCAAACAUAAAAUAAUAUGCUAAAAAUGUUUAUAAUAAAAACAUUAUUCAAAAUAAUAUAUUGUUUUCUUCUAGACACCCUGUUUGAGAUCAGUAUUUUUUUAAUCCAACCUGUAUGUCAAGCUCCUAAAAAUACAGAAGGUCUAUCUUUUUGUAUCUUAUUUGUGGCAUAAAAUCAUAGCUUUCUUUAUUAUAAAUUAAGUUUAAGGGUUAAACUUUUGUAAUGUAUUUGUAUUUUUUUUUUUUUUUUGCAUGUCUCUGCCAUUUGUAACUGAACAGAAUUUACAUAAUAUGUAAGAACUAAUUUAACUUCAGAAGACUUUAUUGAGAGUACAACACUGCGAGAGGAUGAAAACCACCAGGCAAAUAUUAACCAAUGAGCUUUAUUUGUGUCAUAUAUCCCUCUAUAAAUUAUGGAAAGAAAACCUUUUCCAAAAAAAACAAAUGUAUGGACGAAACAUGAACCAGAAAUAUGGCCAUGUAAGUGCACCCUUGGGGCAAGAAAGCAGAUAUAUAGUUUCGUUCUAUGUUACAGUGAAAAUCUAAGUGUAGUAUAAGAAAACGUGUCCAUGUUCUAUGUUCCACUGAGCUUCAUAAUUUUCAUGUGCAACUUAAAAGUGCCAUAAUGACAUGACUAUCCUUUUAAAUGUAUAUUCAUUCUAUGCAGAAAUGACAAUAUUUUAAUUUGUUGACAUAUGUUAUUUAUUUCAUGAUUAAAAUGAACAUUGUAAUGUAUUGUGAUAAAAUAAAUUUUAUGGAAAUGUGGCAUUA